rnacentral:tRNA from 1 species
GACCGCGUAGCUCAGUUGGAAGAGCAUUGGGCUAGUAUUCCAAAGGUCGUAGGUUCGAAUCCCACCGUGGACG